rnacentral:rRNA from 1 species
GAGUUUGAUCAUGGCUCAGGAUGAACGCUAGCGGCAGGCUUAACACAUGCAAGUCGAGGGGUAACAGGGAUUGCUUGCAAUCCGCUGACGACCGGCGCACGGGUGCGUAACGCGUAUGCAACCUACCUUCUACAGGGGGAUAGUCAAUAGAAAUGUUGAAUAAUACCCCAUACGAUCUUUGAAUAGCAUUAUUUAAAGAAGAAAGUUCCGGCGGUAGAAGAUGGGCAUGCGCCCUAUUAGUUAGUUGGAGAGGUAACGGCUCCCCAAGACAUCGAUAGGUAGGGGUCCUGAGAGGGAGACCCCCCACACUGGUACUGAGACACGGACCAGACUCCUACGGGAGGCAGCAGUGAGGAAUAUUGGACAAUGGAGGCAACUCUGAUCCAGCCAUGCCGCGUGCAGGAAGACUGCCCUAUGGGUUGUAAACUGCUUUUAUACAGGAAGAAAUGUACCUACGUGUAGGUAUUGACGGUAC